AAUUCUGAGAGAGCUAAAAAGACGCAAACGGCGAAGAUCACCAACUUCAUCAAGACGUUCAUUUUACAGACACUAGUAUGUUAAAGCGAGAUAAACUGUCGUGUCUUUGAAGUCAUAAGACAUCAGGAAAGCGCUCGAUUUAGACGAAACAUGUAAAUUUGUUGGGAAUACUAUGUAACCACGCCUCAUGUUAAUAAGAACUAGUGCUUACAAAGAUCUCGUGGAUUUUAUAGGCCAACACUUUUUGAUUUUAGAUUUUCGUUUUCUUCUUUUUUUCCUUUCAACUACAGGUGUGUUGAGAUCUAUUUCGUGGUAUAAAUGUAAGUUGAUAAUUCAAACGAGGCUUUAGAUUUCAUUUCAAGGAGCAAGGAACAUCCUUCGGAGGAACUUUAUCAGUAUCUUCGAAGCAGGUCCCUCUCCACCCUCUCUAUGUUCAAAUAAGGACACUUCCGGCUUUGUUCCGCUUUUUAAGGCUGGAAAGAGAAAACCUUUGGAGUAGGGAGCUGAAUAAAGAUAUAAAAGGCUUUGAAGCAAGGAGCUAAAAAAGGAUAGAAGUUCUACCUAAGAUCAGAACGCGAAUUUUUUACUGUCGACGAAAGCACAAAUCAGAAAGAUGCCGUUGGAAACGCUGUCUCUGAAAUGUCCUUGUGGCUACA